CUGAAACCAAACAAACGGGACAAUCCUGAUAUCGUCUUAGAAAUAACUGUUACAAAUUCGAUGGCAUCCUGAAAUACCAAAGCAGUUUGCAAACUCUUUAGUUGCUGUUAAGAUAUUCACAAAACCGUUUCUUCUGAUUACUUGUCUCCUGGUUGUCCUCAUCACCUUGCAACCUCAUGAAUAUCGAAAAAAAAAAAUAAGUCUAAAACUAUAAGUACUUUUUUACUUGCUAGGCCACUUUGAAAAUCAGUGAAUCACGUGAGAAUCGGAAAGAAAAAUACAUGUUGAAAAUGAUUUGAAGCGAAAA